rnacentral:rRNA from 1 species
AGUGAACGCUGGCGGUAGGCCUAACACAUGCAAGUCGAACGGCAGCACAGUAAGCGCUUGCUCUUACGGGUGGCGAGUGGCGGACGGGUGAGGAAUACAUCGGAAUCUACUUUUUCGUGGGGGAUAACGUAGGGAAACUUACGCUAAUACCGCAUACGACCUACGGGUGAAAUCAGGGGAUCUUCAGACCUUGCGCGAUUGAAUGAGCCGAUGUCGGAUUAGCUAGUUGGCGGGGUAAAGGCCCACCAAGGCGACGAUCCGUAGCUGGUCUGAGAGGAUGAUCGGCCACACUGGAACUGAGACACGGUCCAGACUCCUACGGGAGGCAGCAGUGGGGAAUAUUGGGCAAUGGGCGCAAGCCUGAUCCAGCCAUACCGCGUGGGUGAAGAAGGCCUUCGGGUUGUAAAGCCCUUUUGUUGGGAAAGAAAAGCAGCAGGUUAAUACCCCGCUGUUCUGACGGUACCCAAAGAAUAAGCACCGGCUAACUUCGUG